CAAAAAUCCCUAACCAAACGACCCUUUCUCCUUCACCUAACAGCCCUAAACCGAACAGCCACCCCAACGUCACCACGACCCCACUCCCCGUCACUUCCGUCACGUCACCUCACCACCACCACGCCCCUAUCCCACGAAAUCCGCUGCCUUCUCUUUUCUCACACUCCAUCUCUGAAGCCUGCAAAUUCAGCGGAUUUUAUGGUGAGUCCCAUCCCUAUUUUCAUCAUCUUAUCUCUUGAAAACAUCUUCCCAAAUUUCCCCCCCUUUUCCUUAUUUUUGAACUUCGAAUUCAAGUUUUAGAAACCCCUCAGUAUUUUUCUAUAAAUACAGACCCUUGUGGGCUGUUUUGGAUAAAAAAAAAUUUAGGCUGAAAACUCCCCUUUGAACAAAGCUUUUCAUUGAGAGAACAUCUCUUUCAAAGCUUUCAUACUCAGAAAAAUCUUCUUUUAACUUUAAGUUUCUCUUUGGCGUCAAAAUCUCUUUUCAAGUUCUCGGCUGAAACAACAAGCUUUCGAGUGGAUUCGGAGACUCGACGACGACGACAAUAGCCUCAGUUCGCUGUCACGGAGAAGGUCCUGACAGGCAGAGCGGAAAGACCUUAGAGAUAGGAUCGCCAGCUUCAGCGGGACGUCAGCAAGUACCACUAUGUCGGGUUUCCCAGUUGGAUAAUUAUUGAGUCUGCAUGUUAUGUAUACGACAGAUGUACGUACUAUUAGAGGCUCAUAGACAAUGUUGUGGGAAUUAGAGUCAUGCAUGAUUUCAAAAUAUUUAUGAUGCACAUGUAGUAGCUUGAUCGGCUAUAUGACAUCUUCACAAUGUUCAUGUUGCGGCCUCGUCGGCUAGCGUAUGUACAUGGUUAUGCACAAAGAUGUAUAUGUAAUGUCUAUGUUGGGCCAUUUCUGUAUGCCGGUGCUCUUGUAUGUAUGUGAAAUAAUUACGUUCAUAAUAGUUGUACUAAGACUAUAUUACGUCAUACCAGGUCGUAUCAAGCGUAAGGGUCAGGUGCCCGUCAUGCCCCUCAUCGGGGUGUGACAAGAUGAUAGAGGAUCAGAGAGUCAACGGUGAACGACUGAACAAUCUCCUCAAAACGUUGGCCCUAAAUUCACAAAAGCCCAAAUCUUCUUAGCUUGCUCAUAUCAAAUUCAUCUGCCUAAGCAUUUUUUAUUCCUAUUCCCUAUUUUUUGUUUCUGUGUGAUAAUGUUCUGGCACUAAUGACAACUUCUCCUUUCUGCA